UACGAAGGGGGCUAGCGUUGUUCGGAAUUACUGGGCGUAAAGCGCACGUAGGCGGAUAUUUAAGUCAGGGGUGAAAUCCCAGAGCUCAACUCUGGAACUGCCUUUGAUACUGGGUAUCUUGAGUAUGGAAGAGGUAAGUGGAAUUGCGAGUGUAGAGGUGAAAUUCGUAGAUAUUCGCAGGAACACCAGUGGCGAAGGCGGCUUACUGGUCCGUAACUGACGCUGAGGUGCGGAAAGCGUGGGGAGCAAACAGG
rnacentral:rRNA from 1 species